UGGAGCCGGAUGAAAGGAAACUUUCACGUCCGAUUUUGAGGGGGGGAGAUCCUAUAGGAUCCUAUCCUUU
rnacentral:ncRNA from 1 species